UAACAUUUAUACUGACUCCAAAUAUGCCU
rnacentral:piRNA from 1 species